rnacentral:rRNA from 1 species
AUUGAACGCUGGCGGCAGGCUUAACACAUGCAAGUCGAGCGGAGAGAGGUAGCUUGCUACUGAUCUUAGCGGCGGACGGGUGAGUAAUGCUUAGGAAUCUGCCUAUUAGUGGGGGACAACAUUUCGAAAGGAAUGCUAAUACCGCAUACGUCCUACGGGAGAAAGCAGGGGAUCUUCGGACCUUGCGCUAAUAGAUGAGCCUAAGUCGGAUUAGCUAGUUGGCGGGGUAAAGGCCUACCAAGGCGACGAUCUGUAGCGGGUCUGAGAGGAUGAUCCGCCACACUGGGACUGAGACACGGCCCAGACUCCUACGGGAGGCAGCAGUGGGGAAUAUUGGACAAUGGGCGGAAGCCUGAUCCAGCCAUGCCGCGUGUGUGAAGAAGGCCUUAUGGUUGUAAAGCACUUUAAGCGAGGAGGAGGCUACUUUAGUUAAUACCUAGAGAUAGUGGACGUUACUCGCAGAAUAAGCACCGGCUAACUACGUGCCAGCAGCCGCCGUAA